CUUGGAGAAAACCACAAGCAAGAUAUAGUCCAGUCCAGUUGGUGGCGGUAAUGCACCAUUAAACUGGUUUGCCCAGUGCCAAUAAACACAAAAAAAGAAGUUUCAGCGCUGUAUCCCAUUCAUUUUUGUUGUGUCCGAUGAACCUACGCUCGCUGAGGCUGACAUAUGAAACCAUCGGAGACUGACUUUAAUGAGCGAGCAAGCCAGUUAUCCACAAAGGAUCCAAAUAUCAACGAGCAGCACCAGGCUCGUGUCUCCUCAAGAGCUGGUCUCAUUUGGGGCCUAUGACCGGGUCUGCUUCUGACAGUGGAAUGUCCUCAACAAAAACAACCUCACUGACCCUCUCCCUGUAGAUAAUAUAUAAUAAAGUGUUUUGUUGAAUGCAA